GUUACAGCUUUGUCUAUUAAAAAGAAAAUUUAAAACCCUGUAAAGAGCUUUAUAAACUAGGGUUUUGAGUUGUUAUUGUCCUCUGCCAGAGAUAGAUUCACAGAAGAGAAAGCCGCCACCACUCUUGCCUCCUAUUUUCUACUACCAAUUUCCGGAUGGAAUCUCAGGUGAAGCACGCCCUUGUUGUUAAAGUUAUGGGUCGAACAGGGUCUAGAGGUCAGGUGACUCAGGUUAGAGUGAAGUUUUUGGAUGAUCAAAACAGGCACAUCAUGAGGAAUGUGAAAGGACCUGUGAGAGAAGGAGACAUUCUCACCCUACUUGAGUCCGAAAGAGAAGCAAGAAGGUUGCGCUAGAGUAGCUCCCAAUGGUUUGGCUCAGGACUUCAACUAAACAUUUAUGUUUGUUUUUUUUGUGGCAAUUAGUGGAAGUCGAGUAUCUGGACCUAAAUUGUGCACCUAUGAUGUUUGUUUGAUGUCCUGCUACUCUGUUUGUGGAUGAGUUUUAGAUUAAUGAAGCUUUUUCUGUGUUGAGAUGUGGUUGGUGAUGCUUUGAUAUAAUUGUGAAUGCAGUAUCUUUUUGUUUUACUCUAGUAGUGUUAAUUAAUGGAUUGCCUGUAGUAUGGAGAAACCAGACUAAUGGAUAUUAUAUUCUUUCGUUAACUUAGAAUAAAACAUUUGAUGGCUAG
rnacentral:sRNA from 1 species